UUGAAUUUUAAGUUAUACUAAACUAUAAGCCUUCCAAGCUUAAAAAAAAUAAUUUAAAUUCAA
rnacentral:tRNA from 1 species